GACGAACGCUGGCGGUGUGCUUAACACAUGCAAGUCGAGCGGUAAGGCCCUUUCGGGGGUACACGAGCGGCGAACGGGUGAGUAACACGUGGGUGACCUGCCCUCAGCUCUGGGAUAAGCCUGGGAAACUGGGUCUAAUACUGGAUAUGACUCCACGGUGCAUGUCGUGGGGUGGAAAGCCUUGUGCGGCUGAGGAUGGGCCCGCGGCCUAUCAGCUUGUUGGUGGGGNGAUGGCCUACCAAGGCGACGACGGGUGGCCGGCCUGAGAGGGCGACCGGCCACACUGGGACUGAGACACGGCCCAGACUCCUACGGGAGGCAGCAGUGGGGAAUCUUGCGCAAUGGGCGAAAGCCUGACGCAGCGACGCCGCGU
rnacentral:rRNA from 1 species